rnacentral:rRNA from 1 species
GACGUAGGGCGCGAGCGUUGUCCGGAUUUAUUGGGUGUAAAGAGCUCGUAGGCGGCUUGUUACGUCGACUGUGAAAUCCCGCGGCUCAACUGCGGGUCUGCAGUCGAUACGGGCAGGCUAGAGUUCGGUAGGGGAGACUGGAAUUCCUGGUGUAGCGGUGAAAUGCGCAGAUAUCAGGAGGAACACCGGUGGCGAAGGCGGGUCUCUGGGCCGAUACUGACGCUGAGGAGCGAAAGCGUGGGGAGCAAACAGG